AGCUCACUCUCAGCCACAAAGUCAUCGAGUUACGACACUUGGAGAAAACAAUUCCUCAAAACUCGCUCUCGGGUCGUCACCCUAAGUGCGCUCUCGGAUCGUCACCCGAAGCCACUGUACCCCUCGCACUCUAAAGACGCCAAGUUGAUAGUAGGAUUUUUACUCAAUUAAUCCCUAAAACACUAUCUUGUUGUUGUAGUAUUUUAGGAUGUCAAUCCAAUCCGGUGUGAUGCAAACAUAUGAGAUAUGAUCAAAAAGCUCUAAGUCAAGCCAAGCAGAUAGUUGGUUGGUUCUAACAGUCCUAGUAUGCAAUGACAGAAAUGAAAUAAAACUAAAAGCAGAAAUGGCAAUAGCAAGCAAGUGAAUGACAAAGCAGAAAUGAUAACAGGCAAUCAAAUGGAUAAACGAUUCCUAAGGAUGGGGUAAUCGAAUAGUGUGGUCUACUUAAUUUAUUCAGGCGGUUGACAAAACUUCACAGAAGCUAUCCCUAGACAACAAGUUCAACAACAGAUUAAUUCACUCCCGUGAUAGAAAUCCUCAAGCAAAGCUAGACACUGACCUAAAUCCCUUUAGCGAUCUCUAACUAAGCAGGCAUUAUCGAAUCAACAUGUUAAAGUCAAUACCCUCUCUACAGCCAAUCCCUUGGGGUAGAGUCAGAUAUCUCUGGAAUUAAUAGGAUCCAACGCCCAUUAAACGCCUUCUGAGCGCUGGACAUCUGGACUCAUACUCCACAUUAGCCAGUGAAAUAAGCAAUAAGCGCAACUAAUCCAGAAGGGAUUCUAGUAUUCUAAACUCAACCACCAAGUAAACCACAACUAUUCUAUCCCAUCCUCAGAAAUACAAUUCACUACUCAGACAUAAUCAAAGACAAUAACAAAGCAACAAUUGAAAACAUGAUAACAGAAAUGACGAAAGACUUAAACGAAAACUGAAUAUCAAAUACUUGAAGGCGAAACUACAAAGUCGCAGGAGAAACACUGCGGCUAUCAAAGUUGCAAAAAUGUAAAAGCGAGAUAACAACGGAUAAUAGCGGAUGCCCUAGGGAAAACCCUAAGAGGUAGUUUAUAUAAGCGAAAAAUGAAACAAAUAAAGAA
rnacentral:sRNA from 1 species